rnacentral:rRNA from 1 species
GUCUACGGGGUACCACCCUGAAGGCGCCUGAUCUCAUCUGAUCUCGGAAGCUAAGCAGGGUGGGGCCUGGUUAGUACUUGGAUGGGAGACUUCCUGAUAAGAUGUCGGGAAAGCAGGCA